GCCCUCUUGGCUUAGUGGUAAAGCGUAUCACUAGUACCCCAACUCGCUCUGCGAGAUCUGGCUUGCAAAUGAUAAGAUCGCUAGUUCGAUUCUGGCAGAGGGCA
rnacentral:tRNA from 1 species